GAAGGAAUCGACCCCAUCACCUCCCCCCUCUUUAUCUCGGAGCGGCCGCCGCCGCAAACCCUAACCACGGUUCGGUUCCGAUCCGGUUCGACGACGACGAGGAAGGAAGGAGGGAGACGGGGGCGGAGCGGCCAGAUCUGACGAGAUCCGACGGAGGGGGCAGCGGAGAUGGUGGUGAACGGCCGGCCGCUGAAGAAGGCGAGGACGCGCGCGGAGGCCAGGGACUUCGCCGGGUUCCCGGCGGCCACGGACGGCGGGGCGGUCGGGACGUUCCGGGAGGCGGUGAGGGGCUUCCUCGCGAGGCACGCGCGGCUGCUGCCGCUGCCCUCCAUCUUCUCGCCGGCGGCCGCGGCCGCGCCGCCGCACCUGCUAACGUGGAGGGUGUCGCUGCGGGUCGGCGAGGAAGGGGCGGAGGAGGACGCCGGCGGCUGCGGGGUGGAGCUCAACGUCGUCGAGGAGGAUGUGCUCAGAUCGCGAUCUGUGUAUUGCGAUCAGUGCAGAGUCGUAGGAUGGAGUGGGCACCCGGUGUGCGGCAAGCGCUACCAUUUCAUCAUCGAGAACGACAGCAUCCAGAUGGCUGGCCGUCGUCGCACCUGCUGCCUGCGCUGCGGGACUCCCAUGGCCGCUGCAGAAUCAAGGUGCCUCUUGUGCAACUUUGACAUGGAAGGCGAGGAGCUGGAAGAGUGCGGGUACCUGCAUCUUGACGAUUCCUCUCACUUGCUGCACGCAGUUGUGCAUGCAAACGGCUAUGGGCAUCUUCUCAGGGUAAAUGGCCGCGAGGGCGGGUCGAGGCACCUUACUGGCCGUGACAUAAUGAGCUUCUGGGAUCGCCUGUGCAAGGUGCUGCAUGUGAGGAAGGUCACUGUCAUGGACAUAUCCAAGAAGCAAGGAAUGGACUAUAGGCUUCUGCAUGCCAUCACGACUGGGCAUCCAUGGUAUGGUGAAUGGGGAUACAAGUUUGGCGCCGGUAGCUUUGCUCAUACCUCAGAUACCUACCAGGAGGCGGUUGAUGUGCUCUCCGGUAUACACCUGGCGUUGUACUCCUCACAUCGCAGCCCCAUCAGAACCCCUUUGCAGAACACAAUUGCUCUAUAUUGGUCCCUUUCUGAUCGACAGCUUGUGACUGUGAGGGACCUCUUCCGGUUCAUAAUGCACCUGCUUCAUCAAGCUCGUAAGGACGCUGAGACGUCAAAACCAGCCAUGGAUGAGCACAGAGAAGUUGAAUCGAACGUGCUCUGCAUGUGGACAAAUGAAGAUAUCAACCGAGCAGAAGCUGCAAUGCUCAAGGUCCUCCGGGCUGUCCAAGCUGGGCGCUGGGUGUCCUGGCGCGCACUGAGGGGAGCUGCAUCGAAGGCUGUUGAUUCACAGGAACUGCUUGAUUACUCUCUUCGAGGUCUGCGGGGGAAACUGAUGGACGAUGGCCAUUUCAUUGCUGUCCGCUGCAAUACCGAGACAAGCGCAAUUGAAUACAGGCUGGAAACAUAUUCCAACCAGUCCCCAGUUGAUGCAACUGUGUUUGGACCCUCUGUAGAGCAUCUUGCACAUGAUCUUCGCUUCCUCUAUGAUGCUCUGCUGAACCCAGAAACAAUGCUGUCUUCGCAACCAGAGGUGGUGGGUGCAUCAGCACACAAUGCAGCUGCAAGGAUACUUGACUGCAAGCAGUUCAUCAAACACUAUGAUGAGUGUGCUCCAGAAUCUCCCCCGAACCCAAUCCUGCUUGCUGUGAGGUGCUCCAUUGAACUGCUUGAUCACCCAAAGGACUACACUGCACCGCCGGUGGAACUUGUACUUUUACCAGCAACCGCUACCCUGGGUGAACUGAAAAUGCUGGCCGCAAGGGUCUUUCAAGAAACGUACCUCAUGUUCCAUAGCUUCCAGGCUGAACAGCUCCCUGAAUUCCCGAACUUAAGUGACACAACCCCUGUGAAGCACGUGCUUGGCCCAAGCCAGCUUGUUAGGGUGAGAGGACGGUGCACUGGGGAUCACAGGAGAAUUGUGCAGUUCAGGAUGGAGAGGGGCUUGGAGAACUGGACGGUGGACUGCACCUGUGGUGCCAAGGACGAUGACGGCGAGAGGAUGAUGGCGUGUGAUGCGUGUGGAGUGUGGCAGCACACAAGAUGCUCAGGGAUCAGUGAUUUUGAAGAAGUCCCUGAAAAAUUCAUCUGCAGGAAGUGUGCCAGUCCACGCAAAGGAAAGGGGGGUCGUGGUGGUGGGGGUGGCAGCGGCGGCGGCAGAAUGAAGAUGGCUUCUGCCGGGAGGUGCAAGGAUGAGAUAGGAUCGUCUGUUGGUGGUGCGGGCAAAAUUGGGCGCCUAGCAACUGUUGGGUGACUGUACAUAAUGUAGUGAAAUGUAAAUACUGAGAGCUGAGAGUGGGGAGCAGCGCCUGAGGCCUCUCUGGACCUGUGGUUAAUGGAAUCUUUGUCUUUUGACCAGUAUUUCUUCUAUUCCCUCGAAGUAAUCCUCUGUUUCUGUUAAAUCAUCUGGUGUU
rnacentral:rRNA from 1 species